rnacentral:rRNA from 1 species
AUUGAACGCUGGCGGCAUGCCUUACACAUGCAAGUCGAACGGGCUUUGGGGCUUGCUCCAAAGUUAGUGGCGAACGGGUGAGUAAUAUAUCGGAACGUACCCUAGAGUGGGGGAUAACUAGUCGAAAGACUGGCUAAUACCGCAUACGAUCUAAGGAUGAAAGUGGGGGACCGCAAGGCCUCAUGCUCAUGGAGCGGCCGAUAUCUGAUUAGCUAGUUGGUGGGGUAAAAGCCUACCAAGGCGACGAUCAGUAGCUGGUCUGAGAGGACGAUCAGCCACACUGGGACUGAGACACGGCCCAGACUCGUACGGGAGGCAGCAGUGGGGAAUUUUGGACAAUGGGGGAAACCCUGAUCCAGCAAUGCCGCGUGAGUGAAGAAGGCCUUCGGGUUGUAAAGCUCUUUUGUCAGGGAAGAAACGGUGGGGGCUAAUAUCCCCUGCUAAUGACGGUACCUGAAGAAUAAGCACCGGCUAACUACGUGCCAGCCGCCGCAGUAAGAC